GAGUUUGAUCAUGGCUCAGAUUGAACGCUGGCGGCGUGCCUAACACAUGCAAGUCGAGCGGUAACAGGUGUAGCAAUACAUGCUGACGAGCGGCGGACGGGUGAGUAAUGCUUGGGAAUCUUCCCGGUAGUGGGGAAUAACCAACCGAAAGGUUGGCUAAUACCGCAUACGUCCUACGGGAGAAAGCGGGGGACCGUAAGGCCUCGCGCUAUCGGAUGAGCCCAAGUCGGAUUAGCUAGUUGGCGGGGUAACGGCCCACCAAGGCGACGAUCCGUAGCUGGUCUGAGAGGACGACCAGCCACACUGGGACUGAGACACGGCCCAGACUCCUACGGGAGGCAGCAGUGGGGAAUAUUGGACAAUGGGGGCAACCCUGAUCCAGCGACGCCGCGUGUGUGAAGAAGGCCUGCGGGUUGUAAAGCACUUUUAGUGGGGAUGAAAAGCCGAAGGCUAAUACCUUUCGGUCUUGACCUAACCCAAAGAAAAGCACCGGCUAACUCUGUGCCAGCCGCCGCUGUAAC
rnacentral:rRNA from 1 species